CAUCAAUUAAUUCUCUGAUAUGGAAAGACGAUAUCGUCAUUCUGAUGAUUGGAUAGAUUGGAAUAUGCUUUGCAAUGACCACAUGUCAAAUCUAGUUGUCCAUUGCAACCACAUGACCAACAAUGUAUAGUUCUCUUCCUUUUGGUUCACAUUGAUCCAAAUUUUUUUUGGGGAAAAUGGACUUCUGAAACAAUAUUCAAAGCAUUUCUCUGAUAAUAUAUGGUAAAGUUUGGAGGGAUUUUUAGAAUUAACAUUGAGUAGAGGUACUGAAGGAUGAUGGGAACACAUCUAUGAAGUUUUGAGUGCUAACCAAAUUGUCACAUGGCAGCAGUUAUAACCAACAGCUAUUGUUUAUGAUUUAUUGAAAAUCUGCUCC